GAUGAACGCUGGCGGCGUGCCUAAUACAUGCAAGUCGAGCGAACGGACGAGAAGCUUGCUUCUCUGAUGUUAUCGGCGGACGGGUGAGUAACACGUGGAUAACCUACCUAUAAGACUGGGAUAACUUCGGGAAACCGGAGCUAAUACCGGAUAAUAUUUUGAACCGCAUGGUUCACAAGUGAAAGAAGGUCUUUCUGUCACUUAUAGAUUGAUCCGCGCUGCAUUAGCUAGUUGGUAAGGUAACGGCUUACCAAGGCAACGAUGCAUAGCCGACCUGAGCGGGUGAUCGGCCACACGGGAACUGAGGCAGGGUCCAGACUCCGACGGGAGGCAGCAGUAGGGAAUCUUACGCAAUGGGCGAGAGCCUGACGGAGCAACACCGCGUGAGGGAUGAAGGUCUUAGGAUCGUAAAACUCUGUUAUUAGGGAAGAAGAUAUGUGUAAGUAACUGUGAACAUCUUGACGGUACCUAAUCAGAAAGCCACGGCUAACUACGUG
rnacentral:rRNA from 1 species